rnacentral:rRNA from 1 species
GAUGAACGCUGGCGGCGUGCCUAAUACAUGCAAGUCGAGCGAACAGAUGAGGAGCUUGCUCCUCUGACGUUAGCGGCGGACGGGUGAGUAACACGUGGAUAACCUACCUAUAAGACUGGGAUAACUUCGGGAAACCGGAGCUAAUACCGGAUAAUAUAUUGAACCGCAUGGUUCAAUAGUGAAAGACGGUUUUGCUGUCACUUAUAGAUGGAUCCGCGCCGCAUUAGCUAGUUGGUAAGGUAACGGCUUACCAAGGCAACGAUGCAUAGCCGACCUGAGAGGGCGAUCGGCCACAGGGGAUGUGAACCAGCGCCCAGACCCCGAAGGGAGGCAGCAGUAGGAAAUCUUCCGCAAUGGGCAGUAGCCUGCCGGGCGAACUCCGCGAAAGUGAUGAGGGUCUCUGCUUCGUAAAACUCUUUUUUUUGGGAAAAACAAAUUUGUAAGUCACUAUGCCCGUUUUGAGGGAACCUAAUCAGAAACCCCCGGCAAACUCCUG